rnacentral:rRNA from 1 species
AGGACGAACGCUGGCGGCGUGCUUAACACAUGCAAGUCGAGCGAGGCCCUUCCUUCGGGAAGGUGCCCUGGCGGCGAACGGGUGAGUAACACGUGGGCAACCUGCCCCUAGCACUGGGAUAACUCCGGGAAACCGGGGCUAAUACCGGAUAUGACCUCUGAGGGCAUCCUCGAAGGUGUAAAGGAUUCUGGCUAGGGAUGGGCCCGCGGCCUAUCAGCUUGUUGGUGGGGUAACGGCCUACCAAGGCGACG